AAGAAGUUAGUUUAAUAAAAACACUUGAUUUCGGCUCAAGAACUUAUGGUUAAAACCCCUAACCUCUUA
rnacentral:tRNA from 1 species